rnacentral:tmRNA from 1 species
GGGGGUGUUCUGGCUUCGACGGGGGUAGUGAGAUGGCCAGGUGCAUGCCGAGGGGGCAGCUUUCCUCGUUAAUCCAGCCGCAAACUCAUAGUUGCCAACGACGACAACUACGCUCUGGCCGCUUAAGGCCUAGCCCCGAACCCACUUGUGCCCGUGCUCGUGGAUGUAGGGUCAUCAUCACGGGAUCGCCGGGAAUGGCCGUCUGCCAGUUUCCGGCUAACUCCUAGCAGACUGGUCCUUCGAUGCGCUUCGCACGCCGUGCUGUCGCGGGACGAGAUCCAACGGUGAGCUAAGCAUGUAGUACCGGGCGUCAAGCGCCUUCGGACGCGGGUUCGACUCCCGCCACCUCCACCA